rnacentral:lncRNA from 1 species
AAUAGCUACAUUGCUUAACUGCAGUGGCUGACAUGACUACCCUCCCACAGCUUCAGUUUCCUGGUCUGUAAAACAGGGGUGGGUGAGUAACAGCACUUUCCUCUGCGAUGGUGCAUGGCUCAGACUAAGUGAUACCUGAUAAGGCAAUUAGGAAGUGCCUGGCACCAAAGCAGCUGUCAAUAAGCAUUGGCUAUUACAGGACUGUUUCAGAAGGGAAGCUCGUUAGCUCAUCUGGUUCCUAAGGUCCAGAGCUGUGUGAAAACAACUAAAAUCUGCCCUGUACCGGCAAGCAUACCAACGGACCUUACACACUCACAAACGUCUAAGAGACAUUUCAAAUGCUUCUGUGAUUUUUUCCCCCACAUUGGGGUGUUGUACCACGACAGGAAUGUAUAGGUCAAAGGACAACUUGCAAAAAAAAAAAAAAAAAAAAAAAAAAAAGUUUGUUCUUUCCCCCAUGUAGGUCCCAGGAAGAUUAAACUCAGGUCGUUGGGCCCAUACCCACUGAGCCAUCUGGUCAGCCUUCAAACUUUAUGAACUAAUUUAGAUAAAUCAGACGUGCAUGCAGAAAGGCAGUGAAUCUUGUGACUAAAUAUUCAUAUCAGAGCUGUAGUUAGCUCCAGCUGUGUCUCUCACAUGCUAGGACACCUGGAACGAGUCACAGCUUUGUGUCUCUGUUCCACAUCUAUGAACAGAGAAGAAUAAAAUAUCUAACAGUAAAGUAGAGACGAAGUAAGACAAUGUAUGUGUGGGCACAGGUUUCCAUUCAGUCCUUGGCAAGUGAACAGUGCUUAAUAGUUGGUUGCUAUUAUUACUUCAUUCACUUGAAAAGCAAUAGUCAGAAGAAUAUUUAUUAUUAAACUCAAGUGUUUAACCACUAAAUUUGUGGUGUGUGUGUGUGUGUGUGUGUGUGUGUGUGUGUGUGGAGACAUGUGUGUAGCCUGUGCACACGAUGGAGAUCAAUGUUGUUCUUCUCUAACCCUCCCUACCAUAUUCCUUUGAGUCAGGGUCUCUCACUGAACCUAGUUAGCCAGCAGCCAGCAAGCCCCUUUAACCCAUGUGUCUCUGCCUCCCGUACUGCUGUGGUCACAAGCGCGUGGACAUGGAUAUUUACUUGGGUGCUUGGUGUACAAACUCGGGGCCUCAUGCUUAUACAGCACUCUUAAACACUGACCCACCUCUCCAGAGCCUCUUUUUAUCUUAAACAAUAGUGGAGAUGGAUCUUAGGGAGACAAGUGCUGUACCCUUCAGCUAUAUCCCCAGCCCCUAUUCAUUCGAAAGAAGGAGAGAGGGAGGGAGAGACUGAGGAAGGAAGGAAGAAAGGAAGGAAGGAAGGAACGAAGGAACGAAAGAAAAGAAAAGAAAAGAAAAGAAAAGAAAAGAAAAGAAAAGAAAAAAGAAAAGAAAAGAAACAUGUCCUAAGCAGGGCUGGAGAGAUGCCUCAAUGGUUAAGAAUGUGUUGUGCACUUUCCAGCCAGCACGGAGCCAUGGGCACCUCUCAGGACAACUGGCACAAGCACUGCAAGAUGGUGUGUGUGUGUGUGUGUGUGUGUGUGUGUGUGUGUAAGAGGAAACGCUACCACAGGAAGCGGAAGUAUGAACUGGGACAGCCUGGGGCCAGCACUAACAUCGACCCUCACACAUUCCAUGUUUGAGGAGGCAAUAAGAAGUACCAUGCCCUGAGAUUGGAUGUGGGUAACUUUUCCUGGCCCCUGAGUGUUGUACUCGAAAAACAAGGAUCAUUGAUGUUGUCUACAAAGCAUCUAAUAAUGAGCUUGUCUGCACCAAGACCCUGACAAAGAACAGCAUCGUGCUUAUUGACACCACACCAUACUGGCAGCGGUUCGAGUCCCACUAUGCACUGCCCCUGGGCCAACAAAGAAGGGGGCCAAUCUGACUCCUGAGGAGGAAGAGAUUUUAAACAAAAACCGAUCAAAGAAUACUCAAAAGAAAUAUGACGAAAGGAAAAAGAAUGCCAAAGUCAGCAGCCUCCUGGAGGAGCAGUCAC